CGAACGGGUGAGUAACGCGUAGGUAACCUGCCUGGUAGCGGGGGAUAACUAUUGGAAACGAUAGCUAAUACCGCAUAAGAGUAGGUGUUGCAUGACAUUUGCUUAAAAGGUGCAAUUGCAUCACUACCAGAUGGACCUGCGUUGUAUUAGCUAGUUGGUGGGGUAACGGCUCACCAAGGCGACGAUACAUAGCCGACCUGAGAGGGUGAUCGGCCACACUGGGACUGAGACACGGCCCAGACUCCUACGGGAGGCAGCAGUAGGGAAUCUUCGGCAAUGGACGGAAGUCUGACCGAGCAACGCCGCGUGAGUGAAGAAGGUUUUCGGAUCGUAAAGCUCUGUUGUAAGAGAAGAACGAGUGUGAGAGUGGAAAGUUCACACUGUGACGGUAUCUUACCAGAAAGGGACGGCUAACUACGUGCCAGCAGCCGCGGUAAUACGUAGGUCCCGAGCGUUGUCCGGAUUUAUUGGGCGUAAAGCGAGCGCAGGCGGUUAGAUAAGUCUGAAGUUAAAGGCUGUGGCUUAACCAUAGUACGCUUUGGAAACUGUUUAACUUGAGUGCAAGAGGGGAGAGUGGAAUUCCAUGUGUAGCGGUGAAAUGCGUAGAUAUAUGGAGGAACACCGGUGGCG
rnacentral:rRNA from 1 species